UCAAGUUACUAAGAGCGCAGGGCGGAUGCCUUGGCACCAAGAGGCGAAGAAGGACGUAGAAAGCUGCGAAAAGCUCCCUAGAUCUGCAAACAAGAAACGAAAGGGAGAUAUCCGAAUGGGGCAACCCACUUAAGCAAACCUUAAGUAUCUAUAUAUGAAUAAAAUAGUAUAUAGAGGCAAUACCGGGAGAACUGAAACAUCUAAGUACCCCGAGGAAAAGAAAGAAACAUCGAUUUUCAAAGUAGCGGCGAGCGAAAUGGAAAGAGCCCGCUUAAAGAAAUACUAAAACAAUAUCCGAAUGAUUUUGGAAAAAUCAUCCAUAGAAAGUGAAAGACUUGUAAGAGAAGAUAUUAGAAUUUCAAUAAGCUUAACGAGUACCACAAGGCACGAGAAACCUGGUGGGAACACGGGAGGACCACCUCCCAAGGCUAAAUACUACUUGGUGACCGAUAGAGAACAGUACCGUGAGGGAAAGGUAAAAAGAACCCCGAAAGGGGAGUGAAAUAGAACCUGAAACCCUGCGUUUACAAGCAAAGAAAGCACGUGAAAAGUGCAAUCUUGUACUUUUUGUAGAACGGGCCAGCGAGUUACUUUUGUAAGCAAGGUUAAGAAGUUAAGCUUCGAAGCCGAAGAGAAAUCAAGUCUUAAUAGGGCGACAUAGUUUACAGGAGUAGACCCGAAACCAGGUGACCUAUCCAUGAGCAGAGUGAAGUUAAAGUAAAAUUUAAUGGAGGCUCGAACCGGGUGUGGUUUAAAACACAUCGGAUGACUUGUGGAUAGGGGUGAAAAGCCAAUCGAACCUGGAGAUAGCUGGUUCUCCUCGAAAUAGCUUUAGGGCUAGCCUUUAGGAUGUUUAAUGGAGGUAGAGCUACUGACUGGUUGCGGGGUGUUUGUACAUUACCAAAACCUAUCAAACUCCGAAUGCCAAGAAAACAAACCUAAGGAGUCAGACAUAGUGGGAUAAGCUUCUAUGUCAAAAGGGAAAGAGCCCAGACCAUCAGCUAAGGUCCCCAAAUACCGAUUAAGUGGUAAAGGAUGUGAAGUUACCCAAACAACUAGGAUGUUGGCUUAGAAGCAGCCAUACAUUUAAAGAGUGCGUAAUAGCUCACUAGUCGAGUGACCUUGCGCCGAAGAUUUCCGGGGCUAAAUCGGAUACCGAAGCUGUGGACUCUGUAAGAGUGGUAGAGGAGCAUUGUGUAAUAGGUAGAAGCAGUAUCGAAAGGCGCUGUGGACGAAACACAAGAGAGAAUGCUGGCAUAAGUAGCGAGAAGGAGUGUGAGAAUCACUCCCGUCGAAAACCUAAGGAUUCCUGAGCAAGGCUCGUCCCCUCAGGGUAAGUCGGGACCUAAGGCCAGGCCUAAAGGCGUAGCCGAUGGACAACUAGUAAAAAUUCUAGUACUAUCAAAUAUCGUAUAAAUGAAGCGGGGACACAGAAGGAUAAGCUAAGCGUACCAGAUGGAAGAGUACGCUCAAAUAAAAAGGCAUGCCAGGACUAAUAACCAGGCUAAGCUGAUUUAUGAUGAGGAUCGAAAAUAAGUAGAGAAGUAGCCGAUUUCACACUGUCAAGAAAAGCCGCUAAAUAGAUAAAUGAUACCCGUACCGUAAACCGACACAGGUAGGAAAGGAGAGAAUCCUAAGACGCGCGGAAGAACCUUUGUUAAGGAACUCGGCAAAAUGACCCCGUAAGUUAGCGAGAAGGGGAGCCAGAGCGAUCUGGCCGCAGUGAAUAGGCCCAAGCGACUGUUUACCAAAAACACAAGUUUCUGCUAAGUCGAAAGACGACGUAUAGGAGCUGACACCUGCCCGGUGCUGGAAGGUUAAGGGGAAAUGUUAGCAAUAGCGAAGCAUAGAACUUAAGCCCCAGUAAACGGCGGCCGUAACUAUAACGGUCCUAAGGUAGCGAAAUUCCUUGUCGGGUAAGUUCCGACCCGCACGAAAGGUGUAACGAUUUGGGCACUGUCUCAACAAAGGAUCCGGUGAAAUUGUAGUAUGCGUGAAGAUGCGCAUUACCCUGUCUAUUAUACACAUCUGACGCUGCCGACGAAUAGAGAGGUGCUGUACUCGGUGGCCACCCAUUCGAUUAAAACCAAGACUAAGAGAAAUCAGACAUCAAUCAACCGCGAACGAAAAA
rnacentral:rRNA from 1 species